rnacentral:tmRNA from 1 species
GGGGGCGACCCGGCUUCGACGUGGGUUACAAAACCUGAGGUGCAUGCCGAGGAUGCAGCUAACCUCGUAAAACCUGCUGUAAACCAAUAGUUGCCAACGACGACAACUACGCUCUAGCCGCCUAAAAACCGGCUAGCCUCUGACCGGAACUUGCUUGUGGGAACCGGUUUAGGGGUAACCCUUACACAAGCUCGCGAUGCGGUAGCCUGCGGCCAAGUCGCUAAAACCUUAGUGGGACAGCCUUCCAACGCCCUGCCCGUCGGGCGCUGGAAGGUUAAAACAAAGACGUGGCUAAGCAUGUAGGACCAAGGGCGGAGGAUUUGCGGACGGGGGUUCGAUUCCCCCCGCCUCCACCA